AUUUCUCCUUCUCUUGCGUUCUUAUUUUCUGUGGCUUGUUCUUAUUUUGUUUUUUUGUUCAUCUUCGUUUCUUUUUAAGUUGCUUUCAUUUGAGUUGGAUUUUGGUGGAGGAAUUUCGUUAAAUCUUCAUAUUGUGGGAAAAAGAGGUGUUGAUUCAUGUUUAGUUGCUAAAUAGAGAGCUUGUCAUGGAAAAUGGAUUUCUUGAUAAAGUGGAAGUCAAUACGGUUGUCCAAAUAUAGUCCAAGAAAACGUGAUGCGAGAAGUGUAACAAGAGGAGUAUACGACCUUGCUGCGUUGCCUGAAGAUUCAAGUUAGCAAAGAUUCUUCAAGAGUUGUCAAACAUCCCAACCUUUUUAAAGAAGAUCAGGAGCAUGAGUGAGCAACGAGUUGCGACCUGGAUCAAGCAAAAGGAGCUAGUAGAUGUCUAUUGAAAAAUUCGCGAGAUGCAUCUUAAUAUCCAGAUGAUCGAGGGCGAAGUCGUAUAUGUAUCCGCUUUAUGUAAAGAGAUCUGUUUUCUAGUAAAGUUAUUUUAGUAAAAAAUUGAACCAGAAUCAA